AACGCGAAGAACCUUACCAGGUCUUGACAUCCUUCUGACCGUUCCUUAACCGGAACUUUCCUUCGGGACAGAAGAGACAGGUGGUGCAUGGUUGUCGUCAGCUCGUGUCGUGAGAUGUUGGGUUAAGUCCCGCAACGAGCGCAACCCCUACCUUCAGUAGCCAGCAGGCAAGGCUGGGCACUCUGGAGGGACUGCCAGGGAUAACCUGGAGGAAGGUGGGGACGACGUCAAAUCAUCAUGCCCCUUAUGAUCUGGGCGACACACGUGCUACAAUGGCGGUUACAAAGUGAGGCGAACCCGCGAGGGGGAGCAAACCACAAAAAGGCCGUCCCAGUUCGGACUGCAGUCUGCAACCCGACUGCACGAAGCUGGAAUCGCUAGUAAUCGCGAA
rnacentral:rRNA from 1 species